UGCUUUCCACUGUGCUCCUCCUUGCCGACCUCUUUGGCACGCUCACCCCUCUCCGAUUGGUCUCCCCCGCCUCUCCCCGGCAUCAUCGCGCACCCCUCGCCUCUGCCCUUCUCCGCACGUUUGGUGGCUCACUGCCGUGUCUCUUUUUUUGUGCUUUCUCCGUCUUUGUUGUGUUUGCGCUCUCCUCACUACUCUCCUCUCGUGCGCUCGUGUGCGCGCACCCGCUGUAUCUCCACCCAACCCUCUCCCGUGCCUUUCAUGUUUUUUUUCUCCCUCUGUCUGAGGCGACGAGCGGCACUGUCGGUGGCUGAUGGCGGUCUAUUGCCGGUGGUGGCGCAUGAGUGUGUGCGUGCUGGCGGCUCCUCCUGUCUCUUGCUGGUUUUCUCUCUUUCCCGUUUUCUUGUUGCCUCUCUUUUCUCUCUCGAUGCGUUGCUUCCCUGCGCACAGGCCCUCUUGGUGCGAUACAUGAGAAGCGUACGCUAGCCGUUGCGUACCUCUCAAGAAACAUACGAUAUGGCGAGAACGAGCACUGUGAAUGCCGUACCCGCCGCGACAGCAGUGCGCGAUGCGCACACACGCGGGCACACCGAAAGAGCGAGCGUGCUGCCGUGUUGGACCCGACACACUGCCAGACUCGCCAUGUCCCACACACACACACACACACAGACGGACACGCCCUCGCUCUUGCGUGCUUGCCAUUCCCCUGCUUACUGUCCACGAGCAGGACGCCGUCACGGCGCGUGCGUGUCUGUGUGUGCUGCAGACUGGAGGGCAGGGAGCGGGUGACGUGAUGUGUCCGCCAACGGUGCGACUCGCUCGCUCUCUCGCUCUCCGACUCCCUGUCAUUCUCCAUCGCUGCCCGCGCUGCAGUCUUCACUGUACCCGCUCUUUUCUCCCCCGUCCUCUUUCGUGUUUCGGUGUCGACGCACACGCCGCCACCUCCCUCCCCGCACCUACCCCCGCCUGCACUCAUCACACCCUACGACGCCAG
rnacentral:misc_RNA from 1 species